rnacentral:lncRNA from 1 species
AGGAUAACAUGACAUAGCAGGAAUAAUACUGCCUUUUCUUUCUGGCAUGGAUCAAGAGAAAAGAAAAUACAAGAAAACAGACAGAAGCAAGGCAAGGUACUUCUAUGGAAGGGUGAGCCCUCACAGAUGGAGCAAUGGGGCGCGCACACCUGAACAAGGGAGGGGAAGGAGUUCUUAUCCCUGAUGCAUGUGACCCCUGCUGCUGUGUCCUUCCCCUAUUGGCUAAGGCUUCUGACAGCUUUGGAGAUUGUGACAUUGGAAUAAAGGAAAAACGUACAGGACUCAUGAAGCGCUGAAAUGUUCACAAAUAUCAAGCAAAAGUCAAUGAAAUUUAUUUUGAGCUAUUUACAUCAUUUAAUAAUUGAGCAAGGUAUACUCCUAUGAACAAAAUUUGGAGCAUGUUUGUCUCUCUCUGCCUGGCGUCUUCAGAAUUUGGAAACUAGUUAAAAUUGUUGUCUUAUUUUCAUCCUCUUUAAAAGAUGGUUUAUAAUCAGCUAUAGAAUUUUAACACGUGCUCUCAAAUGCAAGUUUCUGAUAACUUUGGAGAUUGUGACAUUGGAAUAAAGGAAGAGCUGGAAUGUUCAUGAAUAUCAAGCAAAAGUCAUGGAAAUUUAUUUUGAGCUAUUUACAGCAUUUAAUAAUUGAGCAAGGUAUACUCCUAUGAACAAAAUUUGGAGCAUGUUUGUCUCUCUCUGUCUGCCUGGCAUCUACAGAAUUUGGAAACUAGUUGUGCUGUACUGCAUGAGAAUGCCUGCAUUUAGUAUGCGAACUGGAAUUGGCAAAGGACGAUGGCUGCUCUCCCGCUAACUUUAAAUAAGUCAUGUCACAAAUUGCAUUCGUUCCCAGAUUUCCUAAACUUUCCAGAGAAAAUGGUCUUCUCCCUGGCUCAGCAAGAAGAUGAACUUUAAACACUGAGAAACUGGUCAUCUCCCUGGCUCAACCAGAAGAUGAACUUUAAACACUACUCUCAAUGACUUGAUGUUCCCAUCACUACUCCUGUCAUAAAGGGAGGGGACUCAGAUAUUGAGAAUUUUAUGAUAGUGUGAACUGUCUGGUAUGUCAUUUAAGUAAGCCCGUUGCUGAAAUAUUUUCCAUGUUAUUAGAAAGAGCUGAAGAGAGGGAUUGAGAUGGCUUCUUUAUUUUUUGUCUUUUGGGAAUUAAAGGAACCUGGUUCAACAAGGGCCUACACCUAAGUCUCUUGUUGUACCAGAGUACAAUUUAGGACUGCUCCUGAGGAAGGAAUUAGCUAGAAAUCUAGAGAGUAAGGGUAACAGAUUUACAUAGAAUAACAGCCUCAGUAUUUUUGGUUCCUCUCCAGUAAAGAUCACAAAGAAUAUUGCUAAAUCGCUAAAACACCUUUGCAAUAACGUAAGGGCUUACAACUAUAUACCAAUGUAGCUCAGUUACUAAACUGGAGUAAACUAAUUUCUCUUGUGUAGAAAAAUUGGUUGGCUGUGGUUUUAUAGCAGAUCUGCAAUUAUUAAUAGUUAUGCCAAUAAUCGUUUAACAGUGCAUAUGUUAAUAUAUAUGGAAAGACAAUGUGUAUAGACAGAUGUGUAAAAUUGAAAAAUAAACAUAUAACAAGAGAGAAACAUCUAUCGAACAGACAAUAUACAUACACAUCAAACACAACAGCAGUUUUAGUGACCAUAAUAUUUAUUUCUCAUUUUUACAUUGCUUACUUUAGUGACAACUGAAAAUGACAGUUGGCAAUGCAGCUAACAGUUUCAAUAAAAGUAUAAAACAAAAGACUGUGUACAAAGCACCUGUCUUUCCGCUUUUGUAAUCUUCCGUUGGAAAAAAUUUACACACCUAAGUAACCAUCUGUUUUCUUCAAGAAAAAAUCAUUCUUAUUUCUCUCUCUCAUCUUGAAAACAGCUGUCAGCCAGGAGGGCAGAGCUGAAAUUUAUUGCCACAUCACAUGAAGCAUAGAACAGACUCCACUACUCCUUGAGAUUCAAAACUUUGCCUCUCACAAAGUUACCUUUUAUUUUCCUCUUGUUUGUCACUCAUCUCCCCUAGUGUGCUCUUUUUAUUUCUUUUACUAUUAAUAAUAAAAUCUGUGGAUGACUGUAUUAUUGAA